rnacentral:rRNA from 1 species
AUUGAACGCUGGCGGCAGGCCUAACACAUGCAAGUCGAGCGCGAAAGGCUUUCGGGCUGAGUAGAGCGGCGGACGGGUGAGUAACGCGUAGGAAUCUACCUGGUAGUGGGGGACAACUUGGGGAAACUCAAGCUAAUACCGCAUACGCCCCACGGGGGAAAGCGGGGGACCUUCGGGCCUCGCGCUAUCGGAUGAGCCUGCGUAGGAUUAGCUAGUUGGUGGGGUAAAGGCUCACCAAGGCGACGAUCCUUAGCUGGUCUGAGAGGAUGAUCAGCCACACUGGAACUGAGACACGGUCCAGACUCCUACGGGAGGCAGCAGUGGGGAAUAUUGCGCAAUGGGCGAAAGCCUGACGCAGCCAUGCCGCGUGUGUGAAGAAGGCCUUAGGGUUGUAAAGCACUUUCAAUUGGGAAGAAAAGUUUAUGGUUAAUAGCCAUAAGCCC